UCAGAAUCUGAGAAAACUCACUACAUUAUCCCUCCAAAACAAUUCAUUCUCUGGAGCCAUACCCAAUAUCAGCCUCCCAAAACUGAAGAUUUUGAAUUUGAGCUUUAACGGCUUUAAUGGCUCAAUUCCGCACUCUCUCCAAAAGUUCCCUUAUCAUUCAUUUGACGACGGAAACUCUUUACUAUGUGGACCACCUCUCAAGAAUUGCUCCACUGUCUCCCCUUCCCCUUCUCCUUCCCCAUCUUACUUUGCUAGCUCACCAACC
rnacentral:misc_RNA from 1 species